AAAAUUAUGUUCAACUCCUUCACUUCCGAUCGACGGCUUCAUCUCCAAAAGAAGCUUGGUAGUCUAAAACACACACAUACACACAUAUAUGAUGGAGAUAACGUCGAGCUUCGAUCACGAUAAUCGAAAUCCAAGGGCUUUGAUUGACAACAAACUUAUUGUUCGAGGCUUGUCGUUUUCAUAUCACAGGGUUCCUAAACAGCUUCUCAGGUUAUCAGUUCUGAAAUUAGACGGUUCUUCCUUUGGCAUCGAGGUUUCUAUGAAUGCUACCAUAGCAUAUCUUAAAUUCGUAUUAGAGGACUUUUUCACUUCUUGCCUAAGGAGAAGAGAUGCAUUCUUAUCUUCGAUUCGCUGUUGUUACUUGUUACAUAUACAUAUUUUGGUGCAAUUCACAUUAACACGCUAUAAUUUUUAACUUAUAAAAUCGUUUUUUCUUGAUUGCAAUCAACUCGUGUAAGCUUUUACGUUGAAUUUCCUUCCCUUGACCACAAAUCUAGGUCAAAACUGCAACUUUUUCCAACUAUGAAGAUCAUUCCUAAAAGCGAUACAUCAAACUAAACUGAAACUGAUUUCAGUGAAGGAAACAGUUAGACUUGAAAAUGGUUGGAUCAACGCAUGUGAAGACUGAUUUAGACUUCAAUUAUUUGUUGAAUUCUAAAAUUGUUAAUGAAUUAAUGCUAUUGAAAUUGUCUUCAAAUUUAUUAUUACAAUAUCUCAAGAAACUUCAUGAUAUUAGGUCACAUAUAUAGGGGCAUAUUUGUCUGUGCCAUAAAGGGCAAAAGCUGCAGAAUGAUAAAUGUGCUUUAAAUUUUUUUCAUUGAAAGCCGUGUUUCCUUUUUUCCUUGAAUUCCAAAACUACCCUUUUUAAAUGGAAUUUCAGUCACAUACAUUUUACUUUCCAUUUAAAAUUGAUUCAAUCAUUACAUAUGAAACUUUAUUUGGAAAGACAUGUUUAGUUCGUCGGUUUUGGCAAAUUCCGAUGAAAUCAGAAUACGAGAUCUCCUUUCAUGGCUGCAAAGUGGACAGACUUUAGUUCCCUUCUUACUAAAAGACCAAAAUACCCUCAACACUAUGCAUGAGCAAACGGACCGAACCGGCUGCAAACGGCCCGACCCACGAACCGGCUUCGGCCAAAAUCAAGAACUGAACCGGCCCGGCGGUUCUAUUGGUUCCGGUUCCGGGUCCGGUUUUUGACUGGUUUUUGAUUUUGGAACCGGACGUUGGUGAAUCAUUAGGUGGAGAUGCUGCAACCGGAAGAUGAGUACUUUUUGCAAUAGAAGCCCUUCUUAAUGACUACAGAAUGAGUGUUUCUGGUCAACAAUUUGUCAUACAGAGAAUUGGGACAUCAGGAAAAGGAAGUUCCACAUGGUGUGGUCUUUGGUGGGUUGAAAUGUAAAAAACAAAUGGUAAUAAUCAUUUACCUUAUGAAUAACAAGUGUCAAUUCCUUCACUUUUGCUACCAUUAAGAAGUCAUAUGACACAAAACUGAAGGAUGCAAAGAUUCUUAUUCCAAUAAUACCCUUCCUACCGAAAUAUGAGGUUCUCUUCCCUUCUUGCUAUAACAAGCUCUCUAAAAAUACAAUAAAAGCACUUAACAGUUACCAUAUCUUUUUCAUCUUCACCUGUUUCCCUUUUUAAAAAGUAAAUUUCCAACUUUUUUUAUUUAUUCAUACUUUUGAUCUUCUGGGAGAAAAAGAAAAGUUUCAAUUGGUUAAAUGAACCAUAUAUAUAUAUAUAUAUAUAUAUAUAUAUAUAUAUAUAUAUAUAUAUAUAUAUAUAGGUUUAGGUUCAUUUGAGACCAUUCUAAUUUUGUGAGACCGUGAGACCAAAUCUAAAAAUAAUUUUAAAAUGCAAAAAAAUGGAAAAAUCCAAAAAAAAAAAAUUUAAAUAUUAUUUUCGGAACUUGAAUUAACUAAAAAAAAUAUAAAAAAAAUAAAAAAAAAAUCCCGUUUUUUCUAAAAAAUAAUUUUAAAAUGCAAAAUAAAUGGAAAAAUCUAAAAAUUCUUUUUUUAAAAAUUAUUUUCGGAACUUGAAUUAAUAAAAAAAAAAUAAAAAAAAUCUAUUUUUUUUGAAAAAUACAUGAAAUAUUCUAAAUAGAAUAUUACACUGUACAUAUUCUAAAAAUAAUUUUAAAAUGCAAAAUAAAUGGAAAAAUCAAAAAAUUCUUUUUUUAAAUAUUAUUUUCGGAACUUGAAUUAACUAAAAAAAAAUAAAAAAAUGCGUCUCACGGUCUCACAAAAUUAGGCUGUCUCACAUGAACCUAACCCUAUAUAUAUAUAUAUAUAUAUAUAUAUAUAUAUAUAUAUAUAUAUAUAUAUAUAUAUAUAUAUAUAUAUAUAUAUUAAAAAAUUAUUACCUAAAUGGUUUUUAGAGCCUAAAGUUGGUUCAAACUCAAAUUAGCUCAAAAGAUAAAGAAUUCGGUUUGUUUAUUAUUUCAAAUUAAACAUGUCUAUAGUGAAGAGUAAAUGAUAUUUUUUUGAAUCUUUAUUAUAUUUCUUUGAGGGGUCCAUUUUUUUUUCUUUUCGCCCUGGGCCUGUAUAUGUUUGGACCAGCCUUGAAAUCUUCCAUCAGAUAUAAAUUCCAGGUUGCUCUUACACGUACCUUGGAGGUAACUUUUACCCACUAAUUAACUUUGUUAUUUUCAUUGUCAUUUGACCUAUAUGUUCAUGUUGUUGUAAUAGGAUAUAAUAAACAAGUAAGUUAAAGGUACACUGGUAUUUCCUGAUUUUAAUUUUAAUUCUAAUUUAUGAUCUGUUAUUAGAGGAAUCAUCUCAAGUUGGUCAAGGUUCAGUUCUUACUCCAAUUGAAGUAGUAAUUUGUAUUCAUGGCAUUGAUCCCGAGAAAGAUUGAAUUCCCUUAAAGAAGGCAUGUAUUUGUAUUCUUUAAUUUUUCUUUCCUCCUUUUGUCCCUUUUCCACACAUUAUUCAUCCAAAAAAGUAUUUUGUUUAAUUAUUUACCGGUUAUUUGCAUUUGAUAAAUAUUCUUUGAUGAAUUUAGAACACACUUUCGAAUUUGACA